rnacentral:rRNA from 1 species
GAGUUUGUAUCCUGGCUCAGGACGAACGCUGGCGGCGUGCCUAACACAUGCAAGUCGAGCGGAGACGAGUGAGGUAGCUUGCUAUGAGCUGUUUAGCGGCGGACGGGUGAGUAACGCGUGAGCAACCUUUCCCAGACAGGGGAAUAACACACCGAAAGGUGUACUAAUACCGCACUAAGACCACGGAAUCACAUGGUUCUG